rnacentral:rRNA from 1 species
GACGAACGCUGGCGGCGUGCUUAACACAUGCAAGUCGAGCGAGGCCCCUCCUUCGGGAGGGUGUCCUAGCGGCGAACGGGUGAGUAACACGUGGGCAACCUGCCCUCAGCUCUGGGAUAACUCCGGGAAACCGGGGCUAAUACCGGAUACGACCUCCACGGGCAUCUGCGGAGGUGGAAAGUUUUUCGGCUGAGGAUGGGCCCGCGGCCUAUCAGCUAGUUGGUGGGGUAGUGGCCCACCAAGGCGACGACGGGUAGCCGGCCUGAGAGGGCGACCGGCCACACUGGGACUGAGACACGGCCCAGACUCCUACGGGAGGCAGCAGUGGGGAAUAUUGCGCAAUGGGCGAAAGCCUGACGCAGCGAUGCCGCGUGAGGGACGAAGGCCUUCGGGUUGUAAACCUCUUUCAGCAGGGACGAAGCGAAAGUGACGGUACCUGCAGAAGAAGCACCGGCCAACUACGUG